rnacentral:rRNA from 1 species
CAAAGGCUUGGUCCUGGCCUUACUGUCGGCUCUAGUUAAAAUUACACAUGCAAGUAUCCGCACCCCUGUGAGGAUUCCCAUAGUCCUCUGUAUGAGGACAUGGAGUGGGCAUCAGGCACAGCCCCCUGCGGGCUAGACUAGCCCAAGACGCCUUGUUCAGCCACACCCUCAAGGGUAGUCAGCAGUGAUAGACCUUAAGCCAUGAGCGAAAGCUUUACUCAGUUAAGACUAAGAGGGCCGGUGAAACUCGUGCCAGCCACCGCGGUUAUACGAGAGGCCCAAGUUGACAGACAGCGGCGUAAAGAGUGGUUAGGGAGCCGAAUGCACUAAAGCCGAAAGCCCUCAAGGCUGUGAUACGCCUCUUCGACGGCACGAAGACCUACUACGAAAGUGGCUUUACUUCGCCUGACCCCACGAAAGCUGAGGAACAAACUGGGAUUAGAUACCCCACUAUGCUCAGCCCUAAACAUUGAUUGAAUUUAACUACUUCAAUCCGCCCGGGAAUUACGGACAUCAGUCUAAAAACCAAAGGACUUGGCGGUGCUUUACAUCCCCCUAGAGGAGCCUGUUCUAUAACCGAUAACCCCCGUUAAACCUCACCCUCCCUUGCUUUAUCCACCUAUAUACCACCGCCGCCAGCUUACCCUGAGAAGGACAAGUCGUGUGCAGAAUUGGCAAAGCCCAAGACGUCAGGUCGAGGUGUAGUGAAUGGGAGGGGAAGANAUGGGCUACAUUUGCUGAACCGAAGCAAAUACGGAUGUUCUCAUUGAAAUAUGAAACUGA